UAAUACGAAGGGGGCUAGCGUUGCUCGGAAUCACUGGGCGUAAAGGGUGCGUAGGCGGGUCUUUAAGUCAGGGGUGAAAUCCUGGAGCUCAACUCCAGAACUGCCUUUGAUACUGAAGAUCUUGAGUUCGGGAGAGGUGAGUGGAACUGCGAGUGUAGAGGUGAAAUUCGUAGAUAUU
rnacentral:rRNA from 1 species